UGGGGAAUAUUGGACAAUGGGCGCAAGCCUGAUCCAGCAAUGCCGCGUGAGUGAUGAAGGCCUUAGGGUUGUAAAGCUCUUUCGCACGCGACGAUGAUGACGGUAGCGUGAGAAGAAGCCCCGGCUAACUUCGUGCCAGCAGCCGCGGUAAUACGAAGGGGGCUAGCGUUGUUCGGAAUUACUGGGCGUAAAGGGCGCGUAGGCGGCCUGUUUAGUCAGAAGUGAAAGCCCCGGGCUCAACCUGGGAAUAGCUUUUGAUACUGGCAGGCUUGAGUUCCGGAGAGGAUGGUGGAAUUCCCAGUGUAGAGGUGAAAUUCGUAGAUAUUGGGAAGAACACCGGUGGCGAAGGCGGCCAUCUGGACGGACACUGACGCUGAGGCGCGAAAGCGCGGGGAGCAAACA
rnacentral:rRNA from 1 species